AUUGAACGCUGGCGGCAGGCCUAACACAUGCAAGUCGAGCGGUAGAGAGGUGCUUGCAUCUCUUGAGAGCGGCGGACGGGUGAGUAAUGCCUAGGAAUCUGCCUAGUGGUGGGGGAUAACGUUCGGAAACGGACGCUAAUACCGCAUACGUCCUACGGGAGAAAGCGGGGGGAUCUUCGGACCUCGCGCCAUUAGAUGAGCCUAGGUCGGAUUAGCUAGUUGGUGAGGUAAUGGCUCACCAAGGCGACGAUCCGUAACUGGUCUGAGAGGAUGAUCAGUCACACUGGAACUGAGACACGGUCCAGACUCCUACGGGAGGCAGCAGUGGGGGAAUAUUGGACAAUGGGCGCAAGCUGAUCCAGCAAUGCCGCGUGCAGGAUGAAGGCCUCGGUUGUAACUAGCGUUUGUUACGGGUAACGAAACCGGGUA
rnacentral:rRNA from 1 species